UAUGCCAUCAGUUUAAGAACAAUAAAAUAAAAUAAACAAUUUACUUAGCAAAUGGUGAUAAUGUUUGUUAAUGAAAGAGAGUACGGGACAAAAGAACAUUUAAACCUUAAACUAGCAGGGCACGUCACUUUCUGAGUGAAGUGCGCGACGUGCGCGUGCCCGUCAUUUUGUAACGGUCAACUUCCAUCGGACGGACACGGAGGAAAGACACAACCACAUAUCCUCCAAAUCAUCUCUGCGUGGAUGGCAGCAAGGAUCCAGGAUCAAGAGAUCAUUCUUCAUGGAGACUGUUCCACAGGAAGCAGUUUCUCCUGGGUCAUCCUGACCAUUGUGCUGUCCAGGAUGUAAGGCCGUGCUGGAACUACAUUUCUCGUGGUUGAAAGAUUUGUGCAGCGGUAUCCAGACAUAUAACGCCCCAUCACACGGGGCGUCAACGCCUCUCGUGUGACGUCAAGCAUGGGGUGAGCUGGACCGCAGACAGAAGGCAAAAGGGCCAACAAGUGCUAAGCAUCUCUCAGGGAACUCCUUCAAGACUGCUGGAAGACCAUUUCAGAUUUGAGGGAAAGAUUAAAAACAAGGAGGACUGGGAAUGACUGAAGGGAACUGACAGCAGUGUGGGAAGGAAGUAAUCACCAGAAUCUCAGAGAAGGAUGUUGACAGUGCAGGCGCAGGAUGAAGAAGAGGAGGAAGAACACGUUUAACAAUUUUCUCAUAAGCUUGCCAUGUGUUAUAAUAAAAACAAUGAACAUGGCUACAAUAAUAUGCUAAAUGUUAUUAAAAGAUUCCAGUUUGCAAGAAAUCUGAGUGUCUGACUCUACACUAGAGGAACUCUUUUCUGAAGAAGAUCAGGUGCUGAGAAGUAGGCCUUGUUCUACAGCAAAACACUGCAUCAAGCCUCCUGUCCUUCCCUCAGAAGAGCCUGUCUUCUGCUGCUGGGGUAAGAAACACCCUCUUCCUCUUCUCUAUCAGCUGUCCAGCACCUAACUCUGCCUCCUCAGCACUGUCUGAAAGAGUCUUCUCCACAGUCAGUAAUCACAGAUUCUUCUGAGAAAGUCGAUAUGUUCAUUUUCUUAAAAAACUUUGUUUUUUCGGGUGGGACAAAUAAUACAGGAGAGAUGCUAGAAAUCUCUAUAUUGUUCAUUUUUCAUAUCUUUACGCUUUAUGAAUGUUUUUCUUCUGAGAAGCUCAAAAAUUAUGGUUCUUUGCUUUAUUGUUUAGGUUUAUCCUCUGAUAGUGAGCACAGAGCCCUGAUCAUGACAUGCAAGAAAAAGAAAGAAAUCAUGUCCAUGAUUUACUAAUUCGUUCCCUCGAUGUACUAAAACGUGCACGAUUACUUUUACAUUUCAUUGAUUUGCUAAAUCGUAUGCACAAUUUACUAAUUCGUUCUCUUGAUGUAUAAAUAGUGUACACGUUUUAGCAAAUCGAGUGAAUGAAAUAGAAAAUCGUGCGCAUGAAUUAGCCAAAUAUUUUUCCUGCAUGUCGUGUAAUUAAAGCACAUCACCACCAGACAUUUAUAACAGGAACCUCAUAUAUGACGCUCACAGUUUUACUUUGUGCAGUAUCUCUGUGCAGUAUCUGCUGAAUUGUUUCAUAUCUAUAUAUCAUGUAUUUUUUGUUGCACUAAAUUAUGUUGUAUCAAUAAGUUUACUGAUAAUUAUUUAUAAUUUUCACUGAUGACAUGAUUAACCAUCUCACCAUCCUUAAGACAAACAUUUUCUGUUGUUCAUAUUGUGUAAUCUAUGAAUUGAUGUGUUUAGUUUUCUGUGCUCAUAACUUAGUAACAUUUUGCAUGGUUAAAGAACAGGUGCAAUGUUCAAAAUGUUUUGGCUUCGUAUUUUUAGAAAGUAGUGCUGAAUAAAUAUUGAUUUGUGAAUGAA